GACGAACGCUGGCGGCGUGCUUAACACAUGCAAGUCGAACGGAAAGGCCCUGCAUUUGUGGGGUGCUCGAGUGGCGAACGGGUGAGUAACACGUGAGUAACCUGCCCUUGACUUUGGGAUAACUUCAGGAAACUGGGGCUAAUACCGGAUAGGAGCUCCGGCUGCAUGGUGGGGGUUGGAAAGUUUCGGCGGUUGGGGAUGGACUCGCGGCUUAUCAGCUUGUUGGUGGGGUAGUGGCUUACCAAGGCUUUGACGGGUAGCCGGCCUGAGAGGGUGACCGGCCACAUUGGGACUGAGAUACGGCCCAGACUCCUACGGGAGGCAGCAGUGGGGAAUAUUGCACAAUGGGCGGAAGCCUGAUGCAGCAACGCCGCGUGCGGGAUGACGGCCUUCGGGUUGUAAACCGCUUUCGCCUGUGACGAAGCGUGAGUGACGGUAAUGGGUAAAGAAGCACCGGCUAACUACGUG
rnacentral:rRNA from 1 species